GAUGAACGCUGGCGGUAUGCUUAACACAUGCAAGUCGAACGGUCACUUCGGUGAUAGUGGCGGACGGGUGAGUAACGCGUGAGAAUCUGUCUUCAGGUCGGGGACAACAGUUAGAAAUGACUGCUAAUACCGGAUGUGCCUUUGGGUGAAAGAUUUAUUGCCUGAAAAAGAGCUCGCGUCAGAUUAGCUAGUAGGUGGUGUAAGAGACUACCUAGGCUCCGAUCUGUAGAUGGUCUGAGAGGACGAUCAGCCACACUGGAACUGAGACACGGUCCAGACUCCUACGGGAGGCAGCAGUGGGGAAUUUUCCGAAAUGGGCGAAAGCCUGACGGAGCAAUACCGCGUGAGGGACGAAGGCUUUUGGGUCGUAAACCUCUUUUCUCAAGGAAGAUGAUGACGGUACUUGAGGAAUAAGCAUCGGCUAACUCUGUG
rnacentral:rRNA from 1 species